CAGUGUUCUCAGGGCGGGGUGGAAGUCCCUACCGGCGGUAACAGGCGCACGGCCUGAAGCCCGCGAGCGCCCGGCAUGCCCUGCGUGCCGGAGUCAGCAGAUCUGGUGGGAAACCAGAGCCGACGGUUACAGUCCGGAUAGAAGAGAACUGGC
rnacentral:ncRNA from 2 species